UAGGGAAUCUUCGGCAAUGGGGGGAACCCUGACCGAGCAACGCCGCGUGAGUGAAGAAGGUUUUCGGAUCGUAAAGCUCUGUUGUUAAGGAAGAACGAGUGUGAGAAUGGAAAGUUCAUGCUGUGACGGUACUUAACCAGAAAGGGACGGCUAACUACGUGCCAGCAGCCGCGGUAAUACGUAGGUCCCGAGCGUUGUCCGGAUUUAUUGGGCGUAAAGCGAGCGCAGGCGGUUAGAUAAGUCUGAUGUGAAAGCCCCCGGCUCAACCGGGGAGGGUCAUUGGAAACUGGUGGACUUGAGUGCAGAAGAGGAGAGUGGAAUUCCAUGUGUAGCGGUGAAAUGCGUAGAUAUAUGGAGGAACACCAGUGGCGAAGGCGACUCUCUGGUCUGUAACUGACGCUGAGGCUCGAAAGCGUGGGUAGCAAACAGG
rnacentral:rRNA from 1 species